rnacentral:lncRNA from 1 species
AAGAGUGUCAAUGUAUUAGUGGUAACAGACCACUUCACGAAAAUGGCGAAUGCAUUCCUGUGCAAGAACCAGUCAGCAGCUCAAGUCGCUCGUCACUUAUGGGAUACGUUCUUUUGUGUCUAUGGAUUUCCACAAAGAAUCCACUCAGACCAAGGUGCGAACUUUGAAAGCGGGUUGAUCAAGCAACUUUUACAAAUUGCUGGCAUACAGAAGUCACGAACCACAGCAUAUCACCCGAUGGGCAAUGGCCAAGUCGAGAGGUUCAAUCGCACCUUGGGUAAUAUGAUCAGGGCAUUGCCUCCGAGAGCCAAACAAGCCUGGCCACAAAUGCUGCAAACCUUGACGUUUGUUUACAAUUGUACUGCCCAUGAGUCAACCGGCUUUGCACCGUUUUUUCUCAUGUACGGUCGGAUCCCCAGAUUGCCUGUCGAUUUGAUGUUCCAGAGCGUGGAUCGGGAUAACAAUGUCACAGACUAUGACCAGUAUGUGAGAAAAAUGAAGGACGAUCUCAAAGAAGCUAUGUUACUUGCUCAGGCCAACAACACUGCAAGUCAACAACGGCAAACUGAGCAUUACAACAAAGACGUCAAAGGCAGUGACAUUGAGUUAGGAGAUUAUGUGUUGCUCGCCAACAAAGGAGAGCGUGGGCGACGCAAGCUAGCCGACAAAUGGGACUCAACUUUGCAUGUUGUGGUAUCUGUGGAUACAAGAUGUCAUACCUACCAUGUGAGGAACACUCAAACCAAUCAGGAGAAGGUGGUUCACAGGAACUUGCUCUUACAAGCCAACUUCUUACCUGUUGAUGAGAGGGAGGACUGUGUAGAACCGGCCUUCUAUGACUCCAAGUCGGACUGUGAGACUGAUGAGUCUGUGGUUGACACUACCUUGAAUGAAUCAGAGGAUGCUUGUAACGAAAUUGUUGGGUCAGCUCAUUCCUCAGCUUGUCCAUUAAGCACAUCAGUGGAAGAGGGAACCAGGGAUCCCAGUUCUAGAGCAGGACUAGAGCAUGUCUCUGAUGGAUCAGUUCACGGAUGUGAGAAUCGGAAAACCGUUCAGAACUCUGAGUCUGACCUUUCUACCAUGGAUGUGGAGGAAGUUGAGCUUGACAUAGAAGAGUCCAUGCCACCUGAUGAAGUCUCUGGCGAGAUUGUUCAGCCUUUAACCGAAACUGCUCACCCAGUCAUAACAAGGGCUGGCAGAUUAGUAAAACCAGUUAAUAGACUGAUUAAAAUUAUGACCC